rnacentral:lncRNA from 1 species
GAUUCAAAAACACCAGAGGACCACGACCAGGACACCAUGAGCCCCCAUUCCUACACCAGUGCCUCACAUGCUCUCUCCCCAAUGCCUCCGUUUCUCCAGAAAAGCUAGAGGAACCUUUUCCUCAUCCCCUUCGAAGGAAAAGAUGAGUGAGGAUCUCCGCGUUGGAGGAAGAGGGAGUCGAAAGAGGCUUCCACUCUUUGAAAAAGACCCAAUGGUGGUUGGGCUUCGGGUCACGUGACACCUUCUUUGUGGCUCCGGAAGAGGAUUGUGAAGUUUAGGUUUCGUGGAAGAAACCGAUAAUUGAGGAAAAAAAAAAAUCAAGAUUUGGGGGGAAUUACCUACAAAGAUGUAAGGUGUGUUAAUUUGGGCGCUUCUUGGAUUCUACCCUGAGGAGGAGGCGCGUGGUGAGAGGAGAGAUCUUGAUCUGCCGCUCGCUGAGGUUCAGCAGGUUGGCCAUCUCUACACGGCGAGGCCGGCACAGGUAGCGGUUAAAAUGGAACUCCUUCUCCAGCUCCA